ACACUAACCCUCACUCAAAACUCUCUUUCUCUAUCACUAGAAGCCGCCUCCCCCUCUCUUGCCCUUUCACUCUCGAUUUCCAUCCCUCUCUCUUGCGCGCGCGCUCUUUUUUUCUCUCUCAGCCUCUCCAUCUCUUCACCUUCUUCGUCUCACUUGCAUGAAAGACGAGGCUCACAAAUGGGCAGAGGUCGAAUAGGCGGUCACGAACGGGUAGAGAUCGAAGGUGGGCUCACGAACGAGGAGAUGGCGGUGGACGAACAGCAGACGAAUCCAACACAUGGGUAGGUUUCAUGGUGGCUGAGCUUAGGAGGCUUGACGGUGGCUUGGGUGGUGGCUCAUUAGUUCAGCUCAGAAGCAAAACCUCAAGAAUGGAUAUCUUGGAGUGGAGCGCUAAGUGGCAGAUUGCGCCUUUUGGUGGCGAAGUGGAGACUUUGAGGGUGUUUGACACCUUAACUAAAAAACUAUUUUUUUGUUUUUAAAAGCUAAAAUCUGUUUUUUGAAAACAAGUUGAGGUGUCUGGAGUUGUUUUCAGAAAAUAAUUUUUAAAAAUAAAGUUACAAAAAAAAAAAAAAUUUGAGAACAAUAAAAAGUUGUUUUCUGUUGUUCUCAAAAUUUUUUUGUCUAUCUUUUUUUUUCUCAUAUAAUUUAUUUAUUUAUUAUUAUCUAACAUCAUUUAUUGUCACAUAAUUUUUUCUCUUAUCAGUUUCUCUCUUCAGUUUCUCUUACAUUACUUUCUCUCUCAUUAAUUAAUAUAUCUUCAUUUUCUCUCUCAUCAUUUUUUCUCUCUCGUCAUUUCCACUCUCAUCAUUUUCUCUCUACUCACUUCUUCCUCUUCACUUUCUUUCUCAUCACAUUCUCUCUUAUUUUUUUUUGGAUCAGUUUCUCUCUUUUCAAUUUUUAUUUCUUCAAAUUUUCUUUCCUUACUUUCUCACAUAUUAUUUUUCAUCAUUUUUUUUUCAAAUUAUUUUAUCUCAUUAUUUAUUAUAAACAUUUAAAAUAUUUUUCUUUAUUUGUUAACAUUAUAUUUAAGUUUUAAAAAAAAUAAAACAAUAAAAUCAUUUGUAGAAAAUAUUAAUUAAACACUUCUUGUUUUUUGAAAAUUACAAAAACAGUUUUCUGUUCUCAUUUCUGAUAACACAACUUAAAAAACAGAAAACAAUGCCAAACAAACCUUUUGUUUGUUGAUUGGAGCUAUUGGUGACAGACUGCAGUGGUUGGUUGUGAAUAUAGAGACCUUGCAAACUCUUGUUAAUCUUCUUCAUAAGGAACUAAAGAGCUACAACUUCUAGUGUUUCACGAACUAAAGCAAAAGAGCUGCUGCACUCAAGUUACUUCAAAAAAUACAAGAUAGAGUUGAACAACUCAUAUAAAAAUACUCGAGUAUACUUAUAAAUUGUUCAUGCUGCACAAAACUGAUUACUUAUAAGCUGAGAUUAUAUUUGUACCAAUCUGAUGAAAUAUAUUUUGAUUAAGUUUGUAAUU